rnacentral:rRNA from 1 species
CGGGAAUAUUGGAUAAUGGGGGUAACCCUGAUCCAGUAAUACCGCGUGUGUGAAGAAGGCCUGCGGGUUGUAAAGCACUUUUAGUGGGGAAGAUAAUGAUGUUACCCACAGAAAAAGCAUCGGCUAACUCCGUGCCAGCAGUCGCGGUAAUACGGAGGGUGCAAGCGUUAAUCGGAAUUACUGGGCGUAAAGCGUGCGUAGGCGGCUCUUUAAGUCGGAUGUGAAAUCCCCGGGCUUAACCUGGGAAUUGCAUCCGAUACUGGGGAGCUAGAAUGUGGGAGAGGGAAGUGGAAUUUCCGGUGUAGCGGUGAAAUGCAUAGAGAUCGGAAGGAACAUUAGUGGUGAAGGCGAUUUUUUGGACCAACAUUGACGCUGAGGCACGAAAGCGUGGGUAGCAAAC